CGCGUCGUCGUCGGCCGAGACAUUGCGCACGGUCAGGCGGCGCUCGGUGCCCUCCUCCUCGAUGCCGUACUUGGCGCUCGCCCACAACCGCGUCUCCUCCUUGAACCACGCGGCCUCAGUGGACGGCUGGGGCACCUCACAUAGGAACGUGGCCGACUCCUUCUCCCGCACCUCCAGAUCUUGCAGCCGCUUUUUGAAGGGAACCGCGGGCUCUGCCAGGAGAGAAGACUGGAACGGACACCUGCAACCCUGGAUUCCACGACCGGACAGACGCGGGUGGGAAACGGCAGACCGCAAGGGCGAAAGGACCCAGGUGCACGGGUUGCGGAGGAGCCUGGGCCCGCGCGCCCCGCACCCAGGAGCUCACCGCGCACUACGACCAGCACAGAGCUGUAGGUCUGGCCCACGAGGUUGGACGCCGUGCAGGUGUAGAGGCCGCGGUCCGACUGCUUGCAGAAGAGGAUCUUGAGCACGAAGUUCUCCUGCGCGUCCUCGUACACCACGUGGCGCCGGCCCUCGGUCACCAGCUGGCCGUCCUUCUUCCACACCGUCUCGGGCUUGGGCUCGCCGGUCACGUAGCAGCUGAGGCGCGCGUGCUUGCCUUCAGUCACCGUGCAGGUGCGCGUGCCGGUGCUGGGCGGUGAGGCGGGGGCGCCCUCGGCGCGCAUAGCCUCGCGCCGCCGCUGCAGGUGCGCCAGGAGCGCGGCCGUGGAGGUCCCGGGCCGGCUGGCCGUGUCCGCGGCGUCCGAGUCCACCACUAGCGCCGCGGCGGCGCUGGCAGCGCCCAGCGGGUUCUCGGCGCGGACCUCGUAAGUGCCGCCGUCGCGCGG
rnacentral:lncRNA from 1 species